rnacentral:rRNA from 1 species
UGUAAGCGUAUACCAAAGUUGUUGCAGUUAAAACGCUCGUAGUCGGACGUUGGUGGGCGUUGCGGGUCUGCCUCACGGUUGACUUUGCAGCGGCCGCCUUUGUGGAGGGGGGCUUUCGGGGUACUUCAUUGAAUCCCACUGUCGCCGCCACCGUUUACUGUGAAAAAAUUAGAGUGUUCAAAGCGGGCGUUUGCCAUGAAUACAUUAGCAUGGAAUAAUAGAAUAGGACCUGGUCCUGUUUUGUUGGUUUGUGAGUAUCAGGUAAUGAUUAAGAGGGACGGUUGGGGGCAUUUGUAUUGCGGCGUUAGAGGUGAAAUUCUUGGAUCGCCGCAAGACAAACAGCUGCGAAAGCGUCUGCCAAGGACGUUUUCAUUGA